CCUACGGGUGGCAGCAGUGGGGAAUAUUGGACAAUGGGCGAAAGCCUGAUCCAGCCAUGCCGCGUGUGUGAAGAAGGCCUUCGGGUUGUAAAGCACUUUCAGUGGGGAAGAAAGCCUUGGGGCUAAUACCUUCGAGGAAGGACAUCACCCACAGAAGAAGCACCGGCUAACUCCGUGCCAGCAGCCGCGGUAAUACGGAGGGUGCGAGCGUUAAUCGGAAUUACUGGGCGUAAAGCGCGCGUAGGCGGUCUGAUAAGCCGGUUGUGAAAGCCCCGGGCUCAACCUGGGAACGGCAUCCGGAACUGUCAGGCUAGAGUGCAGGAGAGGAAGGUAGAAUUCCCGGUGUAGCGGUGAAAUGCGUAGAGAUCGGGAGGAAUACCAGUGGCGAAGGCGGCCUUCUGGACUGACACUGACGCUGAGGUGCGAAAGCGUGGGUAGCAAACAGGAUUAGAUACCCCAGUAGUC
rnacentral:rRNA from 1 species